GAUGAACGCUGGCGGCGUGCCUAAUACAUGCAAGUAGAACGCUGAAGGAGGAGCUUGCUUCUCUGGAUGAGUUGCGAACGGGUGAGUAACGCGUAGGUAACCUGCCUGGUAGCGGGGGAUAACUAUUGGAAACGAUAGCUAAUACCGCAUAAGAGUAGAUGUUGCAUGACAUUUGCUUAAAAGGUGCAAUUGCAUCACUACCAGAUGGACCUGCGUUGUAUUAGCUAGUUGGUGAGGUAACGGCUCACCAAGGCGACGAUACAUAGCCGACCUGAGAGGGGGAUCGGCCACACUGGGACUGAGACACGGCCCAGACUCCUACGGGAGGCAGCAGUAGGGAAUCUUCGGCAAUGGACGGAAGUCUGACCGAGCAACGCCGCGUGAGUGAAGAAGGUUUUCGGAUCGUAAAGCUCUGUUGUAAGAGAAGAACGAGUGUGAGAGUGGAAAGUUCACACUGUGACGGUAUCUUACCAGAAAGGGACGGCUAACUACGUG
rnacentral:rRNA from 1 species